CAAGUACUCCAUCCGUCCCAAAAUUCUUGUCUUAGAUUUGUCUAGAUACGGAUGUAUCUAGUUACGUUUUAGUGUUAGAUACAUUCGUAUCUAGACAAAUUUAAGACAAGAAUUUUGGGACAGAGGGAGUAAAAA
rfam:Triticum aestivum genome assembly, contig: Triticum_aestivum_CS42_TGACv1_scaffold_624074_7DS